AACGAACGCUGGCGGCAUGCCUAACACAUGCAAGUCGAACGAGACCUUCGGGUCUAGUGGCGCACGGGUGGGUAACGCGUGGGAACCUGCCCUUGGGUUCGGAAUAACUCCCCGAAAGGGGUGCUAAUACCGGAUAAUGUCUUCGGACCAAAGAGUUAUCGCCUUUGGAUGGGCCCGGGUUGGAUUAGCUAGUUGGUAGGGUAAAAGCCUACCAAGGCGACGAUCCAGAGGUGGUCUGAGAGGAUGACCAGCCACACUGGGACUGAGACAGGGCCCAGCCUCCUACAGGAGGCAGCAGUGGGGAAUAGUGGACGGUGGGCGGAAGCCUGAGCCAGCAGUGCGGCGUGAGUGAUGAAGGCCUGAGGGGUGUAAAGCUCUUUUACCCGGGAUGAUUGUGACAGUACCGGGAGAAUAAGCUCCCUCUCUCCCCG
rnacentral:rRNA from 1 species